GCGCAACCCUCGUUCUUAGUUGCCAGCAUUAAGUUGGGGACUCUAAGGAGACCGUGCCGGUGACAAACCGGAGGAAGGUGGGGAUGACGUCAAGUAGCAUGCCCUUACGUCUUGGGCCGACACACGUACUACAAUGGUCGGGACAAAGGUGCAGCGAACUCGCGAGAGCCAGCGAAUCCCAGCAAACCCGGCCUCAGUUCAGAUUGCAGGCUGCAAACUCGCCUGCAUGAAGGAGGAAUCUAGUAGAUCGCCGGUCAGCAUACGGCGGUGAAUUCGUUCCCGGGCCUUGUACACACCGCCCGUCACACACAUGGAAGCGGUCACGCCCGAAGU
rnacentral:rRNA from 1 species